GAUCAUGACUCAGGAUGAACGCUAGCUACAGGCUUAACACAUGCAAGUCGGAGGGGCAGCAUGACCUAGCAAUAGGUUGAUAGCGACCGGCGCACGGGUGAGUAACACGUAUCCAACCUACCCGGUUAUUCCGGGAGUAGCCUUUCGAAAGAAAGAUUAAUACCGGAUAGUAUAACGAGAAGGCAUCUUCUUGUUAUUAAAGAAUUCGAUAACCGAUGGGGAUGCGUUCCAUUAGUUUGUUGGCGGGGUAACGGGCCC
rnacentral:rRNA from 1 species